CAAUAGUCAAUGCAUAGAUCGAUCGAACGUUUAUGCGAAAGAACGACAGAACGUGACAGAGAGCGAGGGACGCGUGUCUUCGCUGAGAGCGUCGGCAACGAGGUCGAAAUUACGAAGGUGAGCCUUUAUUUCGUCGCGGACGCGCGGGGGGUACCUAUAAGAGCGGCGAGACACGACGGAGAGUGGAAAGUUUUGACGCCACCCUAUAAAUCAAGCCGCGGGUUCGCUCGGCCGAAACGUUGCACGGUCUCACCCCGGUUCUCCAGAGUUUCGCUCACCGUAUGUCUCCUUCGCCUCUCGGCACAGACAGCUUGUACAAGGUAUCCAUCCUGCCAACUAUAUCUCCACGAGAUAAACUCAGGUACCUCAUCCCCCGGAGAAACUCCAGGAAAGAUCAGACCACCCUGCGACGUCCCUAACACUAACUAGCAACGAAGUGGUCUAUCCCAAAGGAACCGGCGAUAAUCGAAAGAAAACCGAACUAGGGUCUACCCAAUUCCACUAUAGACAACAGGCUUCUGUCCAUGUCUUGCCUAUAGGAAAUACGUUUCCGGUAGCCUGUCCGGCUGUCCGUAGGAGUCGCAUGACAGAUAGAAAGGAGCGUGGAACACAGAAGGGGAGAAGAAAAGACAGAGAAAACCGACAGAGAGGCCAGCAAGCAAGAAAAGCAAGAUAUUGGGAGGAGGAGUGGUGAUGGGGCAGGGUGAGAAGCGAGGAUUCGGCGGAGUGGUUGGUUCAGGGGUUGGUAUUGGAUGCUGCCUCGGCGAAGCUCACGGUAGGGGUAGUUUGACAAGUUGACAAGAGCACAAAGGUCGUGGCGGAGCCGCAAGAGACGUGGAAGGGGAGGAAGGGCGAGGGCUGCACGUAGCGCAGCCUAGAAAAGAGGAGUGUGGGAAGAGGAGGCGUCGCGAUGCUCAGCGUCCGACGGAGGGUUACCGGAUAGGGUAGUAGGGGGUUGAAAGCCCGGUAGAUUCAACGCCGUGAACAAAGGCCGGCUGGCUUCGCCCCGCUGCCUACUCUCGGACUUUGGAAACGAGAUCACAUACACAUGCCACGGUGUGUGUGUUGUAUGCGUGUGAGAACGCCACGAACCGUGUGCACCACCGGUAUACCGCCCAGAAGGGGAGUCGGAGUUUGCUCGCUCGACCCGAUAGAUACGAGCGAGCCGGGCCUAAUAUCGAAAGUUCCUGGCUCGAGCUGAAACCGUGCUUAAUUAAAUCGGAAGGCCGUGAGAGAUAACCGGCGCGUCCCUCCUACGAUGCUCGACGAGAGCGUCUGGAAAACACCCGUGUACUAUGGAUGGGGUUCAUGACGUGGCAAGAAUGCAGCGGCGAAAUUUGUCGCAGCGAAGAGCCGAUAUACAGUGGCGAUUAGAGCGUCUAAUGUGAUCACUAGUUGGAAAAAUUCAACGUAAUAUUAUUAGUUUCAGAUAGAUUGUUAUAGUUUAAAAUUAUGGAUUGGAAAUGGCUAAUUACAAUUUACAUUUCAUACGCUGUCCGUCUUAUUUGAUAUUGCUAUUUCGUGUUAGAAAUACAGAUAUCGUUAUGCCUGAAGUGGCCUUAUUCUUGGUUUGUCUAACAGAACGACUUUAUUAUCAACGACUUAAAAUUUCGCUGAUAAUAUUAAUCUUUAUCGAUAGCCUACAUGCUAAGUCCAUUAACAAAUGAAGGGAGGCCUGGAAUGACUCACGUAAUGCUUCCUUAAACAUAUUCAUGGAAAAUUAACGCAUUUACAAAUUCUGUAUUCUACAAACAACAACAAAAUUCCACAAACGUAUUUCCAUUCUAUAGGAAGGAAUCUUCAAUUUCUCUUUCGCCUCGUAUUACCAGAACAUAAAUCUGACGUGCAGUUCACAGCUCGUUAAAAGAUCAUCUAGUGAACUGAGAAGGAAUCUGAAAGGGUGUCGAAGCGAGCAAAAUCAAUAAACUGUUGUAGCGUGCAGGAUCACCGACCCGAUCGACGUUUCGCGGUCUCAAGCGACGUUUCUAAUGAUCCUUGCGGCACUAGCCGAUCGCGAUAAAUCAUGGCAGCAGCUCGUAAAACCGUAAGGAGCCCCGCUGCAUGUAUCAAUGCGUGUGCGAUACACACGCGAACAGGUCAACGAGAAAGGGAGGCGGAAAGAGUCGGAUACAUCGUGUUGAAGUUGUGCCACGAUAUAAAUGGAACGCUUUUGCGGAGCACGCCUUAUAUACAUACACGCUGGUUAGCUGAAAUAUUUAUUGCUUUUUGAAGCGAGUAUCGGUGGCCCGCGGCGUGCUAUUGUAGAAAAUCGUUCGACUUGUUCACGGCCAUGGUUUCUAUUAUUUCUUCCUUUCUCUUUCCCCCUUUUCGUUUUACUCGAUCGAUAUGACGUUCUUCUAUCAACGGUUUCCAUCGUUCUGAUAUUUUUCGCAACAUACGUUACAUUCUAUGCGCUUGAUGUUGAUGGAACGAAAGGGUUGAAAAAGAAUGUAUUUCCAUAGGGCUAGAUUGGAUAUUUAUUUUCUAAGGAUUUUUUAAAAAUUGUUUUUUUUUUUUUAUUUGCAUACUUUCUCCCACUUUUAUCGACGAUGACGUUAAACAAAAGUUGGAAUAUAAUUGCAAGCUCGAUAAGAUCGGUGAUUUAAAAAAAUUCCAAGGUUUUCUCAAUCGUUGAUGGAAGAGUGGAUACGAAA